rnacentral:rRNA from 1 species
AUUGAACGCUGGCGGCAGGCCUAACACAUGCAAGUCGAGCGGUAGCACAGGGAGCUUGCUCCUGGGUGACGAGCGGCGGACGGGUGAGUAAUGUCUGGGAAACUGCCUGAUGGAGGGGGAUAACUACUGGAAACGGUAGCUAAUACCGCAUAACGUCGCCAGACCAAAGAGGGGGACCUUCGGGCCUCUUGCUAUCAGAUGUGCCUAGGUGGGAUUAGCUAGUAGGUGGGGUAAUGGCUCACCUAGGCGACGAUCCCUAGCUGGUCUGAGAGGAUGACCAGCCACACUGGAACUGAGACACGGUCCAGACUCCUACGGGAGGCAGCAGUGGGGAAUAUUGCACAAUGGGCGCAAGCCUGAUGCAGCCAUGCCGCGUGUAUGAAGAAGGCCUUCGGGUUGUAAAGUACUUUCAGCGGGGAGGAAGGUGUUGAGGUUAAUAACCUCAGCAAUUGACGUUACCCGCAGAAGAAGCACCGGCUAACUCCGUGCCAGCCGCCGCGGUAA